rnacentral:ribozyme from 1 species
UCGUACGAUUGAUUCUCCAAAAAUGAAGAAAGACUUGGAAGGAAGCAAGGAAGGAAGCAAGGAAGGAAGGAACGAUUAAACUUUUUAUAAGUAGAAUUGAUUUAAAAAAGAGGAAGAAAAAAAUAGGCGCCUUGUUUCUAUCUA